rnacentral:misc_RNA from 1 species
GGGAGCUAUAUAUCACUCUCAUUUCAAAUAUAAAUAAAAUAUAAAUAUCAAUAAAAUUUUGUUUUGCUAAUAAAAUUCUGUUGCUAAUAUUUAUGAAAAAUACACAAUUCAACGUCCAUUCAACAUCCAACUAAUAGAAUUUAAAUAACUCUGUGGUAUAUUGGUUAACUCUUUGCUUGCUUUGAUUUCAAAAUCUUCUUUUGGCAUCUCUUGUGGAUACAAAGUAGGUUUUGGAGGCAUUUCUAUGCAUUCAAUUUGACUUUCAAGCAUUUCUACAACUUUAUGCAUUGAAGGACGAUCACUAGGUUUCAAUUGAAUACACCACAAUGCUACAAUAAUCAUCUUUUUUGUUAUUUUCCUUUCCUCUUCUGUUGCAUCUCCAAUUUCUAUGUCCUUUCCUUCAUUGAAUUGGUCAUAAACCCAUGAAGGAUAGUAUAUUUGGCUCAAAUGCUCAUCAGAUGCAUUGAAAUUCUUCCUUCUACCAGCCAUU